rnacentral:rRNA from 1 species
AUGUCUAUAUGGGUCAAACAACUUCUUCAUUGGUUAUCGUUGGAGAAGCUUGCUACACCUAAAGUCAAGGGCGGGGUGGAGUUCAGUGAUUUUCAUUUCUUCAACCUAGCAAAGCUUGGCAACACAACACAUGGUUGGCACCUGAUGCAUCAUCCUAAGUCGUUGUGUGCUAGGGUGUCCAAUGGGAGAUACUAUUCUCACUCGGGUUUUCUUCAGGCAACAACUUCAGCUCGAGCGUCGACCACUUGGAAGGCGAUUGUGGUCGGAAAGGAGGCCUUCAAAGUGGGUUUGAUCCAUUGA